rnacentral:rRNA from 1 species
UACAGAGGUCUCAAGCGUUGUUCGGAUUCAUUGGGCGUAAAGGGUGCGUAGGUGGUGCUGUAAGUCAGGUGUGAAAUCCCGGGGCUCAACCCCGGAACUGCACUUGAUACUGCAGUGCUCGAGGACUGGAGAGGAGAUCGGAAUUCAUGGUGUAGCAGUGAAAUGCGUAGAUAUCAUGAGGAAGACCAGUGGCGAAGGCGGAUCUCUGGACAGUUCCUGACACUGAGACACGAAGGCCAGGGGAGCAAACGGG